CCCUUAGAUGUCCUGGGCCGCACGCGCGCUACACUGAGUGUCUGAGAUACGAGUCUGCCUGGUCCGGCAAGGUCUAGGUAAUCGCUAAAAGACACAUCAUGCUUGGGAUAGAUUAUUGCAAAUAUUAAUCUUGAACGAGGAAUUCCUAGUAAGCGCAAGUCAACAGCUUGCGUUGAUUACGUCCCUGCCCUUUGUACACACCGCCCGUCGCUACUACUGAUUGGAUGGUCCGGUGAAGCCUCGGGAUUGUGGUUCUUGCCGCUUUAUUGUAGCGUGACCGCGAGAACUUGUCUAAACCUUAUCAUCUAGAGGAAGGUGAAGUCGUAACA
rnacentral:rRNA from 1 species